rnacentral:misc_RNA from 1 species
UGCAGCUGCUGUUUUCCACAAUUCCCUUAUGCCAGAUAUCGAGCACAACCCUGCUUAUGUUGUGGAUAAGCUUUUGCAGGUCUUUCCUGACUGGAAAGACACCGUGUAUUCAGCCUACGAUUACAACGGCGAGAAUAUAACUGCAUUGAAUCUUGGCUUCGAACUUAUGAAGGAGAAUAUAUAUACUAACUGCCCUAUUGAGGAUUAUGUACUGGCAACCAAGUUGGUAAGGAAGGGAUCAUUGUUUCAAAAUAUUUUAGCUAAGAGAAAAUUCUUCACUAAGAAAGGUUACGGAUCAAUCAAGAGAAUUUAUGUGUAUGGCAACCAAGACAAAAUAUUUUUACCAGAAUUUCAUCUCUGGCAGAUAGAAAAUUAUAAACCAGACAAGGUUUAUGUUGUCCCUGGUGGUGAUCAUAAGCUGAUGCUUUCAAAGCGUAUCGAACUCUUUCAGAUUCUCAAUGAAGUGGCUAAUACAUAUGCUUGAAGUUGAAGCAUUUUCUAUUAUGAAUAAGGAAGCAACCAUAAAUAAAGUAUCUCACAAAUUAAUUGGGAAGUAAGUUGUACUAAAUUAAAAUAAAUUGUUUUGUGUUGCUUAUCCAUUUGUUUAAUUUUAUUAAUCUAUAAAUAAAAAUAUAGAGUAACGUUUCAAGUUUGGUUUGAGUUCUCUAUUUACAUGGUGUGAGUUUUGUAUUUAGAAAAGAAUGAGUUUG